GACGAACGCUGGCGGCGUGCUUAACACAUGCAAGUCGAACGGAAAGGCCUGCUUUCCUUUGUGGAUUGCGGGUACUCGAGUGGCGAACGGGUGAGUAACACGUGAGUGAUCUGCACCCAACUUGGGUAUAAGCCUGGUAAACUGGGUCUAAUUCCCGAUAGGACUGCAGGGUGGUGCCUGUGGUGGAAAACGAUUUUCUAGUGGUUGGGGAUGAGCUCGCGGCCUAUCAGCUUGUUGGUGGGGUAAUGGCCUACCAAGGCGGCGACGGGUAGCCGGCGUGAGAGGAGGGACCGCGACAUUGAGACAGAGACACGACACAGACGCGUAGGGGAGGCAGGGGUUGGUAAUAUAGGAGAGAGAGCGGAAUCCUGAUGAAGCGGCGCAGUGUAGAAGAUGACGGGCUGCGGGAGGUAAACAAGUUUGGAGGGCGAGGAGGACAUCUAGAAGGAAGGGUGGUGACGGUAGUGGUAGAAUAAGCACCGGCUAACUACGUG
rnacentral:rRNA from 1 species